AAUUCCGCGAAUCAUCGAGUCUUUGAACGCAAGUUGCGCCCGGGGCUCGACCCAGGGCAUUUCUGCCAGAGCNNNACC
rnacentral:rRNA from 1 species